UACGUAGGGUGCAAGCGUUGUCCGGAAUUAUUGGGCGUAAAGAGCUCGUAGGCGGUUCGUCGCGUCGGCUGUGAAAUCCCGAGGCUCAACCUCGGGUCUGCAGUCGAUACGGGCGGACUGGAGUUCGGCAGGGGAGACUGGAAUUCCUGGUGUAGCGGUGAAACGCGCAGAUAUCAGGAGGAACACCGGUGGCGAAGGCGGGUCUCUGGGCCGAUACUGACGCUGAGGAGCGAAAGCGUGGGGAGCGAACAGG
rnacentral:rRNA from 1 species